rnacentral:tRNA from 1 species
AAAGGGAGACCUAAUUCAGGUAUAAGACGAAAAAAAAGUAGUCCCUACCAAGAAUCAAUCCCAAAAGGUCGGAACGAGGUAUGAGGCUUUCAAACUAGGUUCUGGGUUCAUAAAAGACCUGAAUCAGGAACAAGGGCUAUUAGCUCAGGUGGUUAGAGCGCACCCCUGAUAAGGGUGAGGUCCCUGGUUCGAGUCCAGGAUGGCCCACCUGCACAGGUGGCAAAAACAAGAGAAGCGAGGAAUCAGCACCUUAUCUUAUAUACAUAUAUAAGAGAGAAUGCUGGCUCUGAGUACAGAGUCCAGAGGAACCUUGAAAACUGCAUAGAGCUAGGUGAAAAAGCCAAAAAAGAAGACCGCAAG